rnacentral:rRNA from 1 species
GUGGGGAAUAUUGGACAAUGGGGGGAACCCUGAUCCAGCCAUGCCGCGUGUGUGAAGAAGGCCUUUUGGUUGUAAAGCACUUUAAGCGAGGAGGAGGCUACCGAGAUUAAUACUCUUGGAUAGUGGACGUUACUCGCAGAAUAAGCACCGGCUAACUCUGUGCCAGCAGCCGCGGUAAUACAGAGGGUGCGAGCGUUAAUCGGAUUUACUGGGCGUAAAGCGUGCGUAGGCGGCUUUUUAAGUCGGAUGUGAAAUCCCCGAGCUUAACUUGGGAAUUGCAUUCGAUACUGGGAAGCUAGAGUAUGGGAGAGGAUGGUAGAAUUCCAGGUGUAGCGGUGAAAUGCGUAGAGAUCUGGAGGAAUACCGAUGGCGAAGGCAGCCAUCUGGCCUAAUACUGACACUGAGGUGCGAAAGCAUGGGGAGCAAACAGGAUUAGAUACCCUGGUAGUCC